CACGUAGGGGGCUAGCGUUGUCCGGAAUCAUUGGGCGUAAAGCGCGUGUAGGCGGUCCGGUAAGUCCGCUGUGAAAGUCGGGGGCUCAACCCUCGGAUGCCGGUGGAUACUGUCGGGCUUGAGUACGGAAGAGGCGAGUGGAGUUCCUGGUGUAGCGGCGAAAUGCGCAGAUAUCAGGAGGAACACCAAUUGCGAAGGCAGCUCGCUGGGACGCUACUGACGCUGAGACGCGAAAGCGUGGGGAGCAAACAGG
rnacentral:rRNA from 1 species